CUUUGAGUGAGGGAAAUGAACCCUAAGGUCACAUUUUCUUUUUCUUUCUUUUUUUUUUUUUUAGGUCACAUUUUCUGAUGAGAAGUUACUCUCCAAUGGUUUCCACAUCUCCUCCUGAGACUUCAGAUACCCCCAACCCUACCCCACACUCCACUCGAAGCGCUCCCAGACAGUUUGGUUUCAUCUCGGGUUUGAAGUAGAGGUGAGAGGGCAUCAUCAGGUGUGGUCAGAAGAAUGCCACUAGAGCCACUGGGUCCUCAGCCGGGCAGGCCACAGCUGAGCCCAUGGGAGCAUGCAGCUCCUUCCUUCCUCCCAGAGACCCUUCAGCAGCCUAAGCCUUUGUGGCCUGUCAAGUUCCUAGAGGUCGUUCUCCAGGCUUAAAUUAAUAAACUAAUUCAAGGUAAGGUAUUGAUAACA
rnacentral:lncRNA from 1 species